rnacentral:rRNA from 1 species
UGAGGAAUAUUGGGCAAUGCCCGAAAGGGUGACCCAGCAACGCCGCGUGGAGGAUGAAGGUCGUAAGAUUGUAAACUCCUGUUAGAGGGGAAGAAUAACCAAGUUUGGAGCUUAGUAUGACUGUACCCUCAGAGAAAGCCCCGGCUAACUACGUGCCAGCAGCCGCGGUAAUACGUAGGGGGCAAGCGUUGUCCGGAUUUACUGGGUGUAAAGGGCGCGCAGGCGGAAUGGAAAGUCAGUGGUGAAAUCCUAUAGCUUAACUGUAGAACUGCCUUUGAUACUUUCAUUCUUGAGUUCGGGAGAGAGAGACGGAAUUCCAGGUGUAGUGGUGAAAUAUGUAGAUAUCUGGAAGAACACCAGUUGCGAAGGCGGUCUCUUGGUCCGAUACUGACGCUGAGGCGCGAAAGCGUGGGGAGCAAACA